CUUAAUAAGUCACUUCCGGCUUCAACCUGGAAGGCAGGAGCAAGGUCGGAAAUGAGCUCUCGAUCCGCCUCUCAGACGGAUGGCUGAGUUGAGUCCGCAGUAACGGGGCCGCGAAAAGUCCUUUACCCAAAGUCAUUUUUCUCACUCCGCCCAGGCCUCUCCUCCCACUCAAGAAGUGUUGGCACAGUGAGGCAGCUGCCCAGGGAAGAAAUCCUGUUCUGUCCUGACCGAAGGCUGCGACUUGGAAGAAAACCUCCCAUCCACCAGAUUGUUAAUAUUCUAAACCUGACUGGUUGAGUAACCUUCCCCUUGUGACCUUUGUGAUCAGUUAGAUCUGGCGUGAAACACCUUCAACCUCUGAGAAACACAAUAAAGUGAUCCACCAAACCCAGAA